UGCAUUGUCUUUAAGCUGAGCAAUAUUAUCAGUGUUUAAAAACUAUACAGCAACAUUUUGUGAUGCUAUAAGAUCCGUUACAGCACUGGUCCGUUUGAGCUCCGUUUUAGGUCCGUUUUACGACAGCGCCAAAAGUGCCAAGUGAACGUUGGGUCUCGCUUGACUGUCGUCUUGCAGAUACGGUCCACAUCCGUACUACGGACUUCAGUCAGAAGCGCCAAAAAAUAAUAAAACAUAUCAUCAAACCAAGCUGUCAACGGAGAUUUAUCUGACCAGCUAGGCUACCACACGUGCUGAAGCUGUGCUAUAAGGUGGUUUGCCCUUUCGGCGGACAGGAGAGGAGGGCGCGAGGAGAGACUGGCGCGUCAGCAGCAGGAGCAGCAACAGCUGCCACAGCACCUAUAGUGAAUUUGUUUAAGUGCAUGUUUUUUUUUCUUCCACGUUGUGUUUAUAGCCUGUGCGUUUCUUUUUAUCCAUUAAUUAUGCGUAUGUUGUUGACUGUGUUUUGUGUUAAUUGUUGACUUUGUUCAUGCCUUUGUUGUUCGUUUUUUAUAAUUAAAAUAUGAAUUCGUGGUCAUUAA